rnacentral:rRNA from 1 species
AUUGAACGCUGGCGGCAGGCCUAACACAUGCAAGUCGAGCGGAUGAAGGGAGCUUGCUCCUGGAUUCAGCGGCGGACGGGUGAGUAAUGCCUAGGAAUCUGCCUGGUAGUGGGGGAUAACGUCCGGAAACGGGCGCUAAUACCGCAUACGUCCUGAGGGAGAAAGUGGGGGAUCUUCGGACCUCACGCUAUCAGAUGAGCCUAGGUCGGAUUAGCUAGUUGGUGGGGUAAAGGCCUACCAAGGCGACGAUCCGUAACUGGUCUGAGAGGAUGAUCAGUCAAACUGGAACUGAGACACGGUCCAGACUCCUACGGGAGGCAGCAGUGGGGAAUAUUGGACAAUGGGCGAAAGCCUGAUCCAGCCAUGCCGCGUGUGUGAAGAAGGUCUUCGGAUUGUAAAGCACUUUAAGUUGGGAGGAAGGGCAGUAAGUUAAUACCUUGCUGUUUUGGCGUUACCAACAGAAUAAGCACCGGCUAACUUCGUG